rnacentral:rRNA from 1 species
GGUUAAGCGACUAAGCGUACACGGUGGAUGCCCUGGCAGUCAGAGGCGAUGAAGGACGUGCUAAUCUGCGAAAAGCGUCGGUAAGGUGAUAUGAACCGUUAUAACCGGCGAUGUCCGAAUGGGGAAACCCAGUGCAAUUCGUUGCACUAUCGUUAACUGAAUACAUAGGUUAACGAGGCGAACCGGGGGAACUGAAACAUCUAAGUACCCCGAGGAAAAGAAAUCAACCGAGAUUCCCCCAGUAGCGGCGAGCGAACGGGGAGCAGCCCAGAGUCUGAAUCAGCUUGUGUGUUAGUGGAACGGUCUGGAAAGUCCGACGGUACAGGGUGAUAGUCCCGUACACCAAAAUGCACAGGCUGUGAACUCGAAGAGUAGGGCGGGACACGUGGUAUCCUGUCUGAAUAUGGGGGGACCAUCCUCCAAGGCUAAAUACUCCUGACUGACCGAUAGUGAACCAGUACCGUGAGGGAAAGGCGAAAAGAACCCCGGCGAGGGGAGUGAAAAAGAACCUGAAACCGUGUACGUACAAGCAGUGGGAGCACCUUCGGGUGUGACUGCGUACCUUUUGUAUAAUGGGUCAGCGACUUAUAUUCUGUAGCAAGGUUAACCGUAUAGGGGAGCCGCAGGGAAACCGAGUCUUAACUGGGCGUUAAGUUGCAGGGUAUAGACCCGAAACCCGGUGAUCUAGCCAUGGGCAGGUUGAAGGUUGGGUAACACUAACUGGAGGACCGAACCGACUAAUGUUGAAAAAUUAGCGGAUGACUUGUGGCUGGGGGUGAAAGGCCAAUCAAACCGGGAGAUAGCUGGUUCUCCCCGAAAGCUAUUUAGGUAGCGCCUCGUGAACUCAUCUUCGGGGGUAGAGCACUGUUUCGGCUAGGGGGUCAUCCCGACUUACCAACCCGAUGCAAACUACGAAUACCGAAGAAUGUUAUCACGGGAGACACACGGCGGGUGCUAACGUCCGUCGUGAAGAGGGAAACAACCCAGACCGCCAGCUAAGGUCCCAAAGUCAUGGUUAAGUGGGAAACGAUGUGGGAAGGCACAGACAGCCAGGAUGUUGGCUUAGAAGCAGCCAUCAUUUAAAGAAAGCGUAAUAGCUCACUGGUCGAGUCGGCCUGCGCGGAAGAUGUAACGGGGCUAAACCAUGCACCGAAGCUGCGGCAGCGACACUAUGUGUUGUUGGGUAGGGGAGCGUUCUGUAAGCCUGCGAAGGUGUGCUGUGAGGCAUGCUGGAGGUAUCAGAAGUGCGAAUGCUGACAUAAGUAACGAUAAAGCGGGUGAAAAGCCCGCUCGCCGGAAGACCAAGGGUUCCUGUCCAACGUUAAUCGGGGCAGGGUGAGUCGACCCCUAAGGCGAGGCCGAAAGGCGUAGUCGAUGGGAAACAGGUUAAUAUUCCUGUACUUGGUGUUACUGCGAAGGGGGGACGGAGAAGGCUAUGUUAGCCGGGCGACGGUUGUCCCGGUUUAAGCAUGUAGGCUGAUUGUCCAGGCAAAUCCGGAUAAUCAAGGCUGAGGUGUGAUGACGAGGCACUACGGUGCUGAAGUAACAAAUGCCCUGCUUCCAGGAAAAGCCUCUAAGCAUCAGGUAACAUCAAAUCGUACCCCAAACCGACACAGGUGGUCAGGUAGAGAAUACCAAGGCGCUUGAGAGAACUCGGGUGAAGGAACUAGGCAAAAUGGUGCCGUAACUUCGGGAGAAGGCACGCUGGUGUGUAGGUGAAGUCCCUGCGGAUGGAGCUGAGACCAGUCGAAGAUACCAGCUGGCUGCAACUGUUUAUUAAAAACACAGCACUGUGCAAACACGAAAGUGGACGUAUACGGUGUGACGCCUGCCCGGUGCCGGAAGGUUAAUUGAUGGGGUUAUCCGUAAGGAGAAGCUCUUGAUCGAAGCCCCGGUAAACGGCGGCCGUAACUAUAACGGUCCUAAGGUAGCGAAAUUCCUUGUCGGGUAAGUUCCGACCUGCACGAAUGGCGUAAUGAUGGCCAGGCUGUCUCCACCCGAGACUCAGUGAAAUUGAACUCGCUGUGAAGAUGCAGUGUACCCGCGGCAAGACGGAAAGACCCCGUGAACCUUUACUAUAGCUUGACACUGAACAUUGAGCCUUGAUGUGUAGGAUAGGUGGGAGGCUUUGAAGCGUGGACGCCAGUCUGCGUGGAGCCAACCUUGAAAUACCACCCUUUAAUGUUUGAUGUUCUAACGUUGGCCCCUUACCGGGGUUGCGGACAGUGUCUGGUGGGUAGUUUGACUGGGGCGGUCUCCUCCCAAAGCGUAACGGAGGAGCACGAAGGUUAGCUAAUCCUGGUCGGACAUCAGGAGGUUAGUGCAAUGGCAUAAGCUAGCUUGACUGCGAGCGUGACGGCGCGAGCAGGUGCGAAAGCAGGUCAUAGUGAUCCGGUGGUUCUGAAUGGAAGGGCCAUCGCUCAACGGAUAAAAGGUACUCCGGGGAUAACAGGCUGAUACCGCCCAAGAGUUCAUAUCGACGGCGGUGUUUGGCACCUCGAUGUCGGCUCAUCACAUCCUGGGGCUGAAGUAGGUCCCAAGGGUAUGGCUGUUCGCCAUUUAAAGUGGUACGCGAGCUGGGUUUAGAACGUCGUGAGACAGUUCGGUCCCUAUCUGCCGUGGGCGCUGGAGAAUUGAGGGGGGCUGCUCCUAGUACGAGAGGACCGGAGUGGACGCAUCACUGGUGUUCGGGUUGUCAUGCCAAUGGCACUGCCCGGUAGCUAAAUGCGGAAGAGAUAAGUGCUGAAAGCAUCUAAGCACGAAACUUGCCCCGAGAUGAGUUCUCCCUGAGACUUUAAGUCUCCUGAAGGAACGUUGAAGACGACGACGUUGAUAGGCCGGGUGUGUAAGCGCAGCGAUGCGUUGAGCUAACCGGUACUAAUGAACCGUGAGGCUUAACCUU